rnacentral:lncRNA from 1 species
CAGGACUUUGAGUCCCAGAGAAAUUCCUUCGAGGUUCUGGGGGUCCUGAACAAAGACAUGCAGAAAAGGUAGAUGUGUCGGUCCGUCCAUUUCCACCCUUGGAAACUGGGGCUUUCAGAAGUUAGGAAGCUGGGCUAGCAUCGCUCUUCCCGUUAAGGCAGAGCACGGAUUCCACCCCAAGACCCUCGAAGCUUUGUCGUCCUCCACGCAGCUCUUCUGAAUGGGUCGAGGAAGCCUGGGGCUCUGAUCCCCC